rnacentral:rRNA from 1 species
UUAAGCGACUAAGCGUACACGGUGGAUGCCCUGGCAGUCAGAGGCGAUGAAGGACGUGCUAAUCUGCGAAAAGCGUCGGUAAGGUGAUAUGAACCGUUAUAACCGGCGAUGUCCGAAUGGGGAAACCCAGUGCAAUUCGUUGCACUAUCGUUAACUGAAUACAUAGGUUAACGAGGCGAACCGGGGGAACUGAAACAUCUAAGUACCCCGAGGAAAAGAAAUCAACCGAGAUUCCCCCAGUAGCGGCGAGCGAACGGGGAGCAGCCCAGAGUCUGAAUCAGCUUGUGUGUUAGUGGAACGGUCUGGAAAGUCCGACGGUACAGGGUGAUAGUCCCGUACACCAAAAUGCACAGGCUGUGAACUCGAAGAGUAGGGCGGGACACGUGGUAUCCUGUCUGAAUAUGGGGGGACCAUCCUCCAAGGCUAAAUACUCCUGACUGACCGAUAGUGAACCAGUACCGUGAGGGAAAGGCGAAAAGAACCCCGGCGAGGGGAGUGAAAAAGAACCUGAAACCGUGUACGUACAAGCAGUGGGAGCACCUUCGGGUGUGACUGCGUACCUUUUGUAUAAUGGGUCAGCGACUUAUAUUCUGUAGCAAGGUUAACCGUAUAGGGGAGCCGCAGGGAAACCGAGUCUUAACUGGGCGUUAAGUUGCAGGGUAUAGACCCGAAACCCGGUGAUCUAGCCAUGGGCAGGUUGAAGGUUGGGUAACACUAACUGGAGGACCGAACCGACUAAUGUUGAAAAAUUAGCGGAUGACUUGUGGCUGGGGGUGAAAGGCCAAUCAAACCGGGAGAUAGCUGGUUCUCCCCGAAAGCUAUUUAGGUAGCGCCUCGUGAAUUCAUCUUCGGGGGUAGAGCACUGUUUCGGCUAGGGGGUCAUCCCGACUUACCAACCCGAUGCAAACUACGAAUACCGAAGAAUGUUAUCACGGGAGACACACGGCGGGUGCUAACGUCCGUCGUGAAGAGGGAAACAACCCAGACCGCCAGCUAAGGUCCCAAAGUCAUGGUUAAGUGGGAAACGAUGUGGGAAGGCACAGACAGCCAGGAUGUUGGCUUAGAAGCAGCCAUCAUUUAAAGAAAGCGUAAUAGCUCACUGGUCGAGUCGGCCUGCGCGGAAGAUGUAACGGGGCUAAACCAUGCACCGAAGCUGCGGCAGCGACACUAUGUGUUGUUGGGUAGGGGAGCGUUCUGUAAGCCUGCGAAGGUGACCUGUGAGGGUUGCUGGAGGUAUCAGAAGUGCGAAUGCUGACAUAAGUAACGAUAAAGCGGGUGAAAAGCCCGCUCGCCGGAAGACCAAGGGUUCCUGUCCAACGUUAAUCGGGGCAGGGUGAGUCGGCCCCUAAGGCGAGGCCGAAAGGCGUAGUCGAUGGGAAACAGGUUAAUAUUCCUGUACUUGGUGUUACUGCGAAGGGGGGACGGAGAAGGCUAUGUUAGCCGGGCGACGGUUGUCCCGGUUUAAGCAUGUAGGCUGAUUGUCCAGGCAAAUCCGGAUAAUCAAGGCUGAGGUGUGAUGACGAGGCACUACGGUGCUGAAGUAACAAAUGCCCUGCUUCCAGGAAAAGCCUCUAAGCAUCAGGUAACAUCAAAUCGUACCCCAAACCGACACAGGUGGUCAGGUAGAGAAUACCAAGGCGCUUGAGAGAACUCGGGUGAAGGAACUAGGCAAAAUGGUGCCGUAACUUCGGGAGAAGGCACGCUGGUGUGUAGGUGAAGUCCCUGCGGAUGGAGCUGAGACCAGUCGAAGAUACCAGCUGGCUGCAACUGUUUAUUAAAAACACAGCACUGUGCAAACACGAAAGUGGACGUAUACGGUGUGACGCCUGCCCGGUGCCGGAAGGUUAAUUGAUGGGGUUAUCCGUAAGGAGAAGCUCUUGAUCGAAGCCCCGGUAAACGGCGGCCGUAACUAUAACGGUCCUAAGGUAGCGAAAUUCCUUGUCGGGUAAGUUCCGACCUGCACGAAUGGCGUAAUGAUGGCCAGGCUGUCUCCACCCGAGACUCAGUGAAAUUGAACUCGCUGUGAAGAUGCAGUGUACCCGCGGCAAGACGGAAAGACCCCGUGAACCUUUACUAUAGCUUGACACUGAACAUUGAGCCUUGAUGUGUAGGAUAGGUGGGAGGCUUUGAAGCGUGGACGCCAGUCUGCGUGGAGCCAACCUUGAAAUACCACCCUUUAAUGUUUGAUGUUCUAACGUUGGCCCCUUACCGGGGUUGCGGACAGUGUCUGGUGGGUAGUUUGACUGGGGCGGUCUCCUCCCAAAGCGUAACGGAGGAGCACGAAGGUUAGCUAAUCCUGGUCGGACAUCAGGAGGUUAGUGCAAUGGCAUAAGCUAGCUUGACUGCGAGCGUGACGGCGCGAGCAGGUGCGAAAGCAGGUCAUAGUGAUCCGGUGGUUCUGAAUGGAAGGGCCAUCGCUCAACGGAUAAAAGGUACUCCGGGGAUAACAGGCUGAUACCGCCCAAGAGUUCAUAUCGACGGCGGUGUUUGGCACCUCGAUGUCGGCUCAUCACAUCCUGGGGCUGAAGUAGGUCCCAAGGGUAUGGCUGUUCGCCAUUUAAAGUGGUACGCGAGCUGGGUUUAGAACGUCGUGAGACAGUUCGGUCCCUAUCUGCCGUGGGCGCUGGAGAAUUGAGGGGGGCUGCUCCUAGUACGAGAGGACCGGAGUGGACGCAUCACUGGUGUUCGGGUUGUCAUGCCAAUGGCACUGCCCGGUAGCUAAAUGCGGAAGAGAUAAGUGCUGAAAGCAUCUAAGCACGAAACUUGCCCCGAGAUGAGUUCUCCCUGAGACUUUAAGUCUCCUGAAGGAACGUUGAAGACGACGACGUUGAUAGGCCGGGUGUGUAAGCGCAGCGAUGCGUUGAGCUAACCGGUACUAAUGAACCGUGAGGCUUAACCUU